rnacentral:lncRNA from 1 species
AGCACAACCAACCUGCAGUUAAACAUUGACGAAUUGCCUCCACAGUGGAUAUCUAGGAAUCUGUUGAGCUAAGGUCAUUCUUUCGGAUGUGCUAUAGGGCUGAUUUAAGUACCCACUGGGAAAGGUUCUAUUCCAGCCUCUUGUUGCCAUUAAUGGGGCAACAUUAAUGCCAUUAAUCCACCUCCUGCUAAUUCCUUAAUAGUGAUCAGAUCAUCAGCUCUUUGAAAGCAGAAGUGGCACAAGUGCUUUGCUUUGGUCUCUCUCACAGUUCCAAUAGGCUUGUGUGAUGAAGACCAAAUCAGGGCCCAAUGUGACAUUAUUCAGCCCUCCUUCAGCAGUCACCUCUCUUUGCUCUCUUGUAAUUUGUUCCACAUUCUGUUCAAGACUGGAAUUUAAAUACAAUGGGAGAACACACCUGUGAAUUUCUCUGCUAUUCAUGACAGUGCAUGGUAAGUACCGAUGGGUGGAUCGAGUUGUAUGCAGGGGUUUGGGUUCUGAUGGGGCUGCACUGAUUAGGGUUCAUCUUGCUUGAAAAGGACAGGUAACUGCAGGUCCUGCCUCAAGUCAAAAUGAAAGCCAGGAAAGAUGCUCAGGGUCAGAGUGGGAAAGUGGUUUCCUCCAUGGCUCGUCAGUUAUCUGUCUCAUCUACCUCUUCUUGAGGGCAGGGUAGGGCAGUUCUCUCACUACUAAGCAAACAUUGGUAUGGGCUGUGUGGUUGUGCCCGGAAAAACCACUUGAAGCUCCAGGCAUCUUCAGUUCUGGGAGGGUUUGGGUUGGCACCUAGUGACGCUCUAUGUCACAGAAACAGAAUCAUUUGAGUUGGAA